UCCACCACCUCAGCUGAGACCUCCACGUCCUCCAGUACACCUCCAGGCACCUCCACUGGCCUCACAUCCACAGCUGUGUCCUCCACAGCGGCCUCCACCACCUCCCCAGAGACCUCCACGGCCUCCUCAACCACACCAGUGACCACCACAUCAUCCUCCACGACCUCUGGUGAGACCUCCACCAUCUCCAGCACAACUCCAGCAACAUCCACAGGCCUCACCUCCACUCUUUUGACUUCCACUGUGGCCUCCACCACCUCCUCAGAGACCUCCACGGCCUCCUUGUCCACUCCAGGGACCUCCUCAGGCCUCACUUCCACUCCUUUGACCUCCACAGCGGCCUCGACCACGUCUUCUGAGACCUCCACUGCCCCCAGUACAACUCCAGGCACCUCUACUGGCCUCACCUCCACUUUGGUGACCUCCACAGCUGCCUCCACCACCUCUGGUGAGACCUCCACUGUCUCCAGCACAACUCCAGCAACAUCCACCGGCCUCACCUCCACGCCUGUGACCUCCACCAUGGCCUCCACAACCUCUUCUGAGACCUCCUCGGUGUCCUCAACCACUGCAGGGACCUCCUCAGGCCUCACCUCCACACCAUUGACCUCCACAGUGGCCUCUACCACUUCUCAAGAGACCUCCACUGCAUCCUCAACCACUCCAGGGACCUCCACAGGAAUCACUACAAUCCCCGUGACCUCCACAGCAGCCUCCACUGCCUCAGCUGAGACCUCCACGGCCUCCAGUACAACUCCAGGCACUUCCACAGGCCUCACCUCCACUCCUUUGACCUCCACAGUGGCCUCCACCACCUCCUCAGAGACUUCCACGAUGUCCUCGUCCACUCCAGGGACCUCCACAGGCCUCACUUCCACUCCUUUAACCUCCACAUCGGCCUCCACCACCUCUUCUGAGACCUCCACAGCCUCCAGUACAAGUCCAGCAACAUCCACAGGCCUGACCUCCACUCCAGGGACGUCUACCACAGCUUCUACCACCUCCUCAGAGACCUCCACAGCAUCCACAACAUCUGCAGAAACCUCCACAGGACUCACCUCCACACCACUGACCUCCACUGUGGCCUCCACCACCUCUUCCGCGACCUCCACAGCGUCCUCAACCACUCCUGGGACCUCCACAGGACUCACUACAACCCCCGUGACCUCCACAUCUGCUUCUACCAUCUCCCAAGAGACCUCCACGGCCUCCUCAACUACACCAUUGACCUCCACAGGCCUCACCUCCACAGCAGUGACCUCGACAGUGGCCUCCACCACCUCCUCCGAGACCUCCACGGUCUCCUCAACCACACCAGUGACCACCACAUCAUCCUCCACAACCUCUGGUGAGACCUCCACCAUCUCCAGCACAACUCCAGGAACCUCCUCAGGCCUCACCUCCACACCAGUGACCUCCACAGUGGCCUCCACCACCUCUUCUGAGACCUCCACCAUCUCCAGCACAACUCCAGGCACCUCCACAGGCCUGACCUCCACACCGGUGACCUCCACAGCAGCCUCCACCACCUCUUCUGAGACCUCC
rnacentral:lncRNA from 1 species